AGAGUCGUGUAGACUUUCCCUGUGGUGCCAUUCUUCGAGGAGGGAAACUCCUGCCACUUGGGCAGUGCAUCUCCAAAUUGUCUUCAGGAUGGCCAGAUGCUGAACUCACCUUGACUCUAGCCAGAUGGGAAGACACAUAGGUCCCAGGUCCUUGGUGGAAGCAAAGAACAUGACCUCUUAGUGCUUCAGAAAUGCAAUGGGCAUGAUGACGUGUCUACAGUCAGCAUUUGGAAAGCUGGAGCAGGAGGGUUGGGAGUUGUAGGCCAUCCUAGGUAAGUUAAUGAGACCAUCUCAAAACAAAACAAUACAGCAUGAGGAAUAUGAAAAAGUCAUCGUUUGGGUUAUGAUGUCAAAGGGCUUUUCCCUCAAAGACUGUGGACCAGACUUCAGAUGGCAGGAGUUGGCAGGUUUUCUUCUCAGUCCUGAGCAACUUUGGGACUUGCAUAUCAUGAGUAGGGCAGAGAAAAACUGGAAGAGAGUUCAGAGAAGGACUGUCAGUAUGCCUAAAGUGGUGGGAAAUAAAAACCAUAAUGCAGAAAAAUAUCUGAAGUAAAGUAGAUCAUUUAACUAUGACAGGAAGUUGGGGGGGGGGAAAUCUCUUGCUUGGAGAUUUUAGCUACUGAGGCAAAGGGCCAAACUUAAUACGUAAAUUUGAAAAAUGAGGAAACCGUAGUUAAGAUUACAAAAUCAAGUGGCUGGUGAGUGACCAGACCAAUGAUUAGGAUAGGAAAAUCCAGAAACUACGAAGAACCUAGUUCUACACGGGCACUUUAGUCUGCAGGGUGCUGUGAAGCUGAAAGGCUUAAGCGGACAGCGUAGCGUGUGUGAGGAGUGGUUCCCAGUCUGGAUCUCAUUAGAGCAGGAAAUGUGCAUUGCUGGUCGUGGUCCGACCUUAGGAAUGAGGCCACUUUCCCACUGUCAAAUUGCAUACUGUGUUCUAAAACUGGAUCAUACAUGAAAUGUUGGGGCAGGAAGGAGCCUAGACCGUGAGUGGGCAGAUGAUCAGAGGCCAGAGAAGGGUGGAAGGCUCUGCUCUGGGCUCCAGGCCUCUAGGCUGGAAGCUUCCCUUCAGGGAGCGAAGGAGGGUGUGCUGGUGGGGGACAGAACCUCAAGUGUGACUCUCAGGUUUCUGGAGCUCUGACACCUUACCAUACCAGCUUUAGAUGGUCACUUCAGUAGGAGACCACAGAGCAAAGCAAACUGGAACAAGGUACUUGCCUCCAAGACCAUAUAGAUGUGGCACCCCCGGGGGUAAUGAGCCUGCUUCGUGGUGACAUGACAGACACUGUGUGGAGUGCUAGCUCCUGUGGUGUAUACCCUGAAUCUGCUCUACGACAUGAAGGUGGUAUGACCUUCACCUUCAGGAGUUGGUUCAUGCAAAUAGGGGUCUUGGAAUUUCACAGCCUUACACCCAGGAUCCAGAGUCCUCCUGACCUAACAACGUUCUGCAGCUCCAAAGGCUGCCUUUCCUGGACUCAUGGUUGGAAACGUGUUUCUGACAUUUAUAGCAACCACCACUGUGCAUGACACUGAAUUUCCAUGAAGUUAUAUACUGUAUAGCAGCUGAUGCUGUCUAGGGUGUAGGAAAGGUUCAUUUUUUCUGCUGAUUAAAGAAUUAGAAGGCAGGAGAGUUUGAAAGUCAAAAAUCAAGGUUGACUCAAAGUGAAAGGACCUGGAGUACCCUCUUGGGGUUCUUUGUCUCCUUAAUGAGAGUUUUAUUAAAAAUGGAUCAAAUGGAAGCUUGAGGACAGUUUUACAAGUUUAAAAAAGAAAACUCCCAGAGCAGGCAAGCUGUAAAUCUCAGUGGUUGCCUCCAGGAGAAAGAGAAGGAAGAAAGCCCUGCCACACUGCAGCAGACAGCCACAUGGUGGGGAGAGAGCUUUAGAGAAAAAGCAUGGAAUCCCGAAGUACUGGAGAAAACGUACUUCGCUUCUUGCCAGUCUUUUAACGGAGACAGAAAAAUGGGGAAGUUGUACCUUUUGAUGUAAGAACGCAGCUAAGCCGCAAGGCAGCUUAGAGGGACUGUGCUAGGGGGCUGGGAUUCUGGGAAGUAAAAGUAUCUCAUGAAAGGUAUUUAUUUCCCUUAUCUCUUAAGCUUGGCUUAAGGUGAGUCUGCCUUCUUGUGGGUGCUCCACCUUCCUGGUGUGCUCCCAGGUGGUAGACCCGCUGGACUGUGUUCACUCUGACGUGUUGGGUAACUUAGAUGUUAGGCCUCUGCCCAGGCCAGAGAUUUUUAUCCUCUUGACCAGAAGAAACAGUGGGACUUGACUGCUGCUGUGUUAGAACCAGUUUUAGCUGGUCUGUCCUCAUCUCCUCCUUGUACAUCAAGGAACUCUUACUUUGGGUGUAAAAAGACUCCCAGUUCUUGCAUGUUGUUUCAGUGUGUGUAUUUGGUUGACGUUUGUUUAGGCAGAAGUGGAUGUCUAGUCUUGCUGGUAAAGGGCACUUGGAGCUACAUGACCUUACUGAAAGGAGGUACUAUCUGACAACAUUCACUAAAUCCAUCCAUGUGUAUCCGGCAGCUAUCAAAGUGCAUCUCUCCUCCACACAGGUUUUGAGAGAUUCUGGUUGAUUGAUUGCAAAUGAAGGAGAAAAAAUUAUCAGUGGACUGGAGAGAGAGCUUAGCGGUUCAGAGGGCUUACCCUGAAAUCAUGAGGAUAAGAGUUCGGGUCCCCAGCAUCCACUUAACGAGCGAUGGGGGUCAAAGACAAGAUUGAUGGGUCUUGAUGGCUUCCAACUUGGGCAACAGAAUUUGAGCCCCAGGUUCAUAAAGUGACCCCCUUUGUUUGCAAGGAAGCAAGACAGUGAUUUCAGACUCUGUAUUGUGUACACAACUCACUAAAGUAUACAUACUCAAAGACGGGUACUAAAUAAAAACCUUAAAAAUUUAUUACUAAAAUUUUUGAAGGCACUAGUUACAAUUCUGGAACCACUUGUACUUGGCCGAGAAUUUGUUUUCUUUGAUGGAGGUGCUUUUCCCAGCAGGGAGCCACAUCAGUUAGCAGAGCUAACAACAGACCUUCCAUCUUGCGAGGGGGAAAAAAAAAUGAAGUUUCAAGUCUCUGUCUUCUCGUUAUUUUCCCUUUUGAGAUCAGUCAGUAAACUAUGCAAUUAGUUGUGUUUCCUGACUUCUAAGUGUAGUUUGGGUUGUUUGGGUUCCGGGCCCCUUUCUUUCCUGCUUAGCUUUGGGGUGUUAAUUUUAGUGGCCAGCCUUUGAAUGAGCAGGCACCCGGGCUGGCUUUCUUGCGUUUUUUUCUUCAGAUUUCUACUACAUCCUGUUUCAUGUGCGGUUAGAUCAUCUGAUGAGUCACCUGAUGUUUUGCUACUUGGAAUGACAGAAAUAGAGGCUCCGAGUAACCACACAGAGAAGCAUCUCUGGUGGUUUCCAGAUACACUGCUCAAAACUAUGCUUUCUGAUGCUUCAGAUGCUUUCUAUAAAAGAGCCCUGUGUAGGGGCUGUGUGGCAGUGCGGACAGAAAUCACCCGGUUUGCACAGUCUGGGGAGAAUGUGGUGAAGCUAGAAGAGAGUUCUUUUCCCUCUGCCCAUUUCAGAAGAAAAUAUCCCCAAACAGAACAGGUAGGAGGGUGGGAGAGCUGGGAGCUAGGAGUGUAGCUCAGUGGAGGGUGUGUCGGACUAACCCUGAGAUUUAUCUCCAGAGCAGGCAUACACACACCCACACUCAGGCCUGCGCUAAGGGAGCGGUUUAAUUCCUUCUUUAAAGAUAAAGAUGGAGUAACCGUUCCCAUGAUUGAGGUGUGUAAUUGUCUCAAUCUUGCCAGGGGCAGAAGGGGGCUGCAUUGCAGGGAUGCAAUGCCCAGAGUCCUUGAAAGUUGAUGUGCUGAAACUACUGCAGGCCAAGUUCACUCCGCCUCCUAACGCAGCUUAAACCAAUAGUAAGUGUUUUCAUUUCUGAGGCCCUCCACGGACAUCGCCAAGGAAAGCCAUCAGCGAAUGCCAAAAAACAGAAGGCCUCAAAUGAGAGAGGAGUACCUGUGGUGUGAGAGAAGCCCACCAGGGCAGUAGGGGGUGACUGACCAGCUGUUACCCACACAUGCAAACAAGUGGCCUUUCCAAUGAAAGAGUCCUCGGUGGCAAGUUUCCUGCCAGCUGCAAGCCUCAACACUCCCUGGCCUGCAGUGGCAGGCUUGUCCUGCCGUGAGUCACAGCAAUCCUGUUUACUCAGUUCCCGGGUGCCUUAGAGAUGCCUUGUGUGCCAGGACCCAGUAAACAAGGGCAGAGCAAAUGGCAGGUGUGCACUUAGAGUGACCCCCUGUCACCCCUCAGGAAAACAGUCCUCCCUGCUUCCUUCCAGAGAACCCUCACUCUAGAAAGGCUGACUUCGCAGUAUUCAGAUGGAAACCUGCCUCAGGCCCUUGCAACUUUAGGUUGUAAUUGUCUACAGUUGCUUAACCUUGAGAAAGCCAGACCUGGUCUUCCCGCAGUCCUCGACAAGGGGAUUUCACAGGCAUGGUCCUUUUCUGUUUCUCGGCUGAGCAAAGUGUUUGAAAUAACACUAGGCUGGUGAAGUAGGCUGCUCUAAUGCCUUUGGGAAGCAGAGAGUGACCCCUUCCCCAUUCCAGACCCCAGGUCCAGACUAUGGAAUUCUUGGUUUGACCACAACGGCAUGGCAGCUUGGAAUGUCAGGAGACACACAGGCCAGGAGAAGGUAAUGCGUGAAGAAGCCUGCCCUCACCAGAAGAUGAAGGUCUGAACAAAUCCGGCAGAAUUGCAGCUCCAUUGCAGAGGCCUGGGCUGGCACUACAUCCUGGGUUUUCAGGGACCUUUUCCACCUUGAUCAAGUGAGGUGGCUUUGGACUUAAAGCCACAUGUUCGAACUGCACAAUGGAGAGCCACUAGCUGCUCUUUCUUAAAUUUAGAGGGAAAGGAUUUUGCUUUUGCAGUCUGAUACUUAAGCUCCAACCCCAGAAGCAUGAACAUAGCCACACGUGUUAAAAAAUACUGCUGUUUAAUUGUCUAGUCAUGUACUUUAAAAAGCCAAUACAAUUAAGACUUUGAAGUUACCUUUUCAGAUCUGCCCCUGAAAUCACCAACAAGCACUACGGGAGCACAAAGGACUUGUUCCCACGGUGGGCACGGAGGAAGGACAUUGGGUAUCCAGAAAUGGGAAUGCAAGCCGGUGUAGCUGACAGCCAACCCUUGCCCUUCCAGUCUUAACAUGAGGAUUACACAACACUGAAAAAAUAAACACAAGAGAUCUGCCUUCUCUUUCCAUUUUCCUUUGCCCUUCCAACCUUUACUUGUCUGCUCAAGGGGCUUAUUUUCUCUGUAGGUUGCCCAUCAUGAAAAAGUGUUUCCUUGGCAUCUACAGGCCCAUCCAUUCAUAGACAAAGGGCUUUGUAAGAUGGUUGUGACAUACAACGGUCACUGGUACAACAUACAACAUGAGUGAGCUGCAGGUAUGUGGAGCACGUAGGCAAUCACUGAAUUGUAUUAGAGACAUUUUAUUGAAAAUGCGAAAAUAGGAAAUGUAUUAUAGCCUAAAAUAAAUUACAUAACAUAUACAGCAUAUAUUUAUAUCUUUAAAAUAUUUGUUUUGUUUAGGUUCUUUCAGUCUAGUUAUUUUGACUAAAUCAGGAAUUUAGUGAACUGUAUCCAUAAUUUUUUUUUUUAAAGGAAAAAACCCGCUUUCCAAAACUUAGAAAAAUAUACUGCACUAAAUGGAUUUCCAAUGCACUAUUUCAGGGGUAUCACAUAGUGACUUUGAUACUUGUUUAUAAAAUGUCUUGCUUUAUGGUGUGGAGGGGAGUACCAUAGCACACUCAGUUGCCUGUCCUGCUGGGCCGUGACUACAAACGGCAGGAACAGGCAACGCAUCUACAUCAGAAGUUACGAGACAGGAACCUGGCAUUAGACUGCUAGAUUACGACUUAAAGCUCUGCUCACUGUAAAGAACGAAAUGGACAGUUAGAAUGCUCCACUUCUCUUGAUCUAGUGCCAUCUUCAGGGAAGGCGAGUGAAAAGCAAGCCUUCGGGGAAAGUCAUGCGGAAGGACGCUGACACUUGGAGGGGCACUUCCGUGACACCCCUGGAAAGUCAGCUCAUGUAUAUACACUGUGGGGAGUGGGGGGUGGGGUGGGCGGCAACUCAGGGAAACCAGGAAAACAACGCGAGAUGCUGAUGA